UACGUAGGGGGCUAGCGUUGUCCGGAUUUAUUGGGCGUAAAGAGCGUGUAGGCGGCUAUGCAGGUCCGCUGUGAAACUCGAGGCUCAACCUCGAGACGUCGGUGGAAACCGCAUGGCUAGAGUCCGGAAGAGGAGAGUGGAAUUCCCGGUGUAGCGGUGAAAUGCGCAGAUAUCGGGAAGAACACCCGUGGCGAAGGCGGCUCUCUGGGACGGUACUGACGCUGAGACGCGAAAGCGUGGGGAGCGAACGAGG
rnacentral:rRNA from 1 species